AUGUGGCGGCUGCCGCUGGAGGAGAUCAACUGGAUCCUUGCACAGCCGAACGAACCUGUCUGGGCCCAGAUCCGGGAGCUCAAGCACGCCAACUCGUCGCUGCUGCCGUCGCCAGAGGAGGAGAAGGAUGAGUCAAUGGUGCUGCUGUACGCAUGUGCCCGCGACUGCUACGAGGACGAAGACAAGUUCGCGCGAUUCCAAGCGUGGGUCCGUAGCGAGUACGCCUCCAUGGGAUUCGUGGAGGUCGACUACGACUACUUCGGUGAGAGGGCCGAGGCGACGAGGCUGAGCAAGGAAGCACGUGAGGAGGUGUUCGGAGACACCGAUCUUUCUUCAGACAGCGAGGACGAUGAUGAGUUGAAGCUUCUCAAGAGGACAGUUAGGGGCUGGGUCUGGAACCCAUAUCUAUCUAUUUCAGCUUUGAUUUCUGAUGCGUAUUGCUUGUCACGGCAUCGGAGCUCCUCUUGCUUAUACUCUCUUGUAACACCCUGCUUGCUACAACAAUUCAUUGUAUGA
rnacentral:rRNA from 1 species